UAACUUCUUUUCUAGCCUAUCUUGGACUUAUAAGAACUUCCCAAGGAGCAACCAAAAAGAAAUUUGCUUCAAAUUAAAAUUCUUGAAUUCAGAAGGUGUUUCAUCACUCUCAGAGAAGCUCCCUGUUCCCAACGAAGCUUCACAAACAUUUAAAACCCCUACUGGAGGGGACAUGGAUUUAACUGUUUGGUAAGAACACUUCAAGUCCGGGACAGACAACCCUUGGAGAUCUGAGUGCAACUUUUGGUACAUGCUGGAAACACAUACAGCAAUUCCCUAUGCUGCUUUAAUGACAGUGUGGAGUGGCUGUUUUGGAAAAAACAAGUUCCUCAGUUUUGGAGAUUCAGUUCUGUACCUGACUUCUGAAUAUACUUUUUUGGGAGGUUGUUUGUUCUGUUAUAGCAACACUUGCCAUUCAAGAAUUUCCUGAUUUUUCAAAACUAAAAUACCCCAACCAUCACAAUGCCCUUCCUUUCUUUUACAGAAUUCUUGAUUCUCUACAUAGGUAGUUUAAUUUUCUAGAAAAUGAAAAAAACUAUCAAGAGAAACAGGUUUUUUACCUCUGUUUAAUUCUUUGUGUUUUGAGUAGUGUGUUCAGAGACAAGAGGACCAUGACGCUCUCGCUGAAGGUGUGAGCAUGCAAUAUAUGACGGAAAGUAGCAUUAAUACCCUGCCAUAAGAAGGUGACAAAUACAGACCUUAGAAAAUGCUUUUAAAGAUAAGUGUUAUUUCUGUUAUGCCAUUGAAGAGGCACAGAACUGCCACUACUGGAAUUUCAAAUGAAACCUCAGUUUACUCCUGGAAGCUACUGAUUUUCAGAGUCUCAUGUGCAGUCUAAGGUCCUGAAUUCUGCUUGCAUUGCGUUUUUACUGACUCCACUGAGGACACACUGGACUCCAAGGGGCCAUAAUUAAGGAGGAAGGACAAAUGCCCUGACAGGACAACUCUGAAUAUAGGAUGUUAUUGUGGAUGUUAUUUCUGCAUGGUUUUGAUGAUAAAUAUUGUUCUGCAUAAAGCAAAAUAGUUGAUAGCUCAAUCUGAUGGACAUAAUUAGUUCUUUUUUUUACUCUGUGUGUGUCUUUGUAACAGUUACUUCUUCAUUACUGAUACUUCUAAUGUUAAUUACUAAAAAUUAUUAGCUUGAACAGCACUUCAUCCCAAAAAGGUGUGUAAAAGUGCAUCAGUGUUGUCCUUUUGAAAUGCUGAUGUGGUAGUGUAAAGGCCAUAAAUCAUUCCUGUGAACCAAAAUAUCAUUUGCUACUGUCAGAAGGCAAGUUAACAGUAUUACAACUUUGUUGAAAUUUGAAUGCAUUCCACGUUCAAUUUUUUUAAUAAGAACUGUAAAUAACAGGCCAUUUUGAAGUAUAAUAAAUGAUCCUUUCCAAAGUCUAAUGAUAGCUUACUUUAGUUAUAGCCAUUCUUUUAUAGCAAUAGACAGCUUUAAAAAAUCAUUCUUGCCGCAUACACAUAAUUUUAAGGAGCUGGCAUAAAGUUUUGGAGCAAGUCCAUUCAUUUAAUUUACACAGACAGGAUAAGUACUAGGAGUAUCUUUGAUGACCUAAAUCUCAUUUUAUACAGAAAGCUGCCUUAUCUUCUGGAUUUUGCACAUAGUAUUUUCUUCUCAGGUAUUUCAUAUUCUAGAGAGUUCCUUUCUACUUAGGGUAUUGUUUAUCCUCAUUGAUCAAACUCAUCAAUCAGAGGCUAAAGAUUUAGUGUGCCUCUGGUUCAGUAUUUAAAAAAAAAUAAGAUUAAAAAAAUUAAUGAAGGAUCUAUUAAAAACUUUCCUCUGAAUUUGCAAUCUCUGAAGAAUCAUAUUUUCCAGGUAUUAUUGGAUCCUAAAGAGUAAUAUUUAAUAUUUUUUUUAAUUAAGUAAAGCACCAAUUCCAACUUAAUCACUCAGACUUGGAAGUUGCAAAUUUAAAAAACACAACAAGAUUUAUUACAUCCUUGAGAGGUCAAAAUAACGCAGCCAUAUUAUUAGCAUUAACGACAGCAUUAUAGUGUUCUUCACCUACAUAAUAACAGGUAGCUAUUUUCAAGUGAACUAAGCUUCAAGUGUUCUGAAAAAAAAAAAAAAAGAGUAGAAAAACCAAGUCCCCUUCAAAGAAAUCCAUGUAUUUUUCUAGCCCUGGUGAGGCUGUGAUUUUGUUGUUUGAAAGCAGAAGGAUGAAAAAUACUACAUGCCUUAAUGCAUCAUGAAAAGAAAUGAUAGGAUAAACUUCAGUUUGAAACCACAAAUAUCUGGUGUGGAAGAAGAAAACAAAUGGGUUUUCACUAUGAUGUUUUGACUGCUUGUUGUUCCCCCUUACUGCAGUUUUAACAGUGCCCCAAUCACCACAGGAUGGGAGCAUGUUAUAUGGAGACUACAGCUAUGAAAAACUCUCAAAUUAGAGUUGUGGCUGAGGAAAAAAAGAGAAAUUAUUUGUUAUGAGCGGGUAUUUUUUUUUCCUUCAAAUUUUGCUGGUGGUCUCAUUUAUUCUUGAAGAGGAAGAUGUGACAUUCUUGCUUCCCACCUUUGUCCUACAGGUCGACCAUCACCUGGCACAGCCUUUACUGUCCUGUUUGCACUACUUUAUUUUUUCACAAAGUGUAACUUUUCAUGGUAGUUGGAAAGAUGAAAAGCUGUUUCUGGAAUAAACAGCAACACAAACCAGCCAAUUCUGCGCAGCAUAAUGGGAUUUUAAUGUAUUCUUCUUGUCGGCAUAGUGUAUUUCUGUGAUAAUUUUAUGUGACAGCAUAAUUAAACUGGAAAACAAUUCCCAUUUCCUAUGUAUUUUAUCUAUUUAUCAUCAUUUAUUUCUUUACUUUCUUGCUCUGCUAUAAAUAUUAUUGUAAGGAGAGUUAAAUAAGUUAAACCAAUGCAAUUACUUUUACAGAUUGAAAUUAACUUCAUAUAUCAAUUUAUACUGGUUUGUAUACAGCACCUACUAUUUGCCCUGUACAAAUAAAUGCAUUUGUUGUGGUAUA